rnacentral:misc_RNA from 1 species
GCGUCAUCCUGCCUGCCGGGCGGUGGCACCGUUUGUCGCCCGGCCAAAGUCCUCGAAAACCUCCUCUCUUCGGAGUGGUGGCUCGGGGUAAAAGAACCCACGGCGCCGAAGGCGUCAAGGAACACUGUGCCUAGCCCCGGGACGCGGCUGGCUUGCUGGCCGCAUCUUGGGUUGCAAUGCUAUAUAUAAUCCACAUGACUCUCGGCAACGGAUAUCUCGGCUCUCGCAUCGAUGAAGAACGUAGCGAAAUGCGAUACCUGGUGUGAAUUGCAGAAUCCCGCGAACCAUCGAGUCUUUGAACGCAAGUUGCGCCCGAGGCCUUCUGGUCGAGGGCACGCCUGCCUGGGCGUCACGCCAAACACGCUCCCACCSCACUAACCCUGUGGUGGGAUGCGGCAUGUGGCUCCCCGUCUCGCAAGUGGCGGUGGGCCGAAGAUCUGGCUGCCGGUGUAUCGUGCCGGACACAGCGCGUGGUAGGCGAUCUCGCUAUACUAAACGCAGUGCAUCCGGGGCGUAGCCGACGUAAUGCCCUCCAUGGACCCUAUUACGGAGCRCACGACGCUUCGACC